GACGAACGCUGGCGGCGUGCUUAACACAUGCAAGUCGAACGGAAAGGCCCUGCUUUUGUGGGGUGCUCGAGUGGCGAACGGGUGAGUAACACGUGAGUAACCUGCCCUUGACUUUGGGAUAACUUCAGGAAACUGGGGCUAAUACCGGAUAGGAGCUCCUGCUGCAUGGUGGGGGUUGGAAAGUUUCGGCGGUUGGGGAUGGAAUCGCGGCUUAUCAGCUUGUUGGUGGGGUGGUGGCUUACCACGGCUUCGACGGGUAGCCGGCCUGAGAGGGUGACCGGACACAUUGGGACUGAGAUACGGCACAGACUCGUACGGGAGGCAGCGGUGGGGAAUAUUGCACAAUGGGCGGAAGCCUGAUGCAGCAACGCCGCGUGGGGGAUGACGGGAUGCGGGUUGUAAACCGCUUUCGCCUGUGACGAAGCGAGAGUGACGGUAAUGGGUAAAGAAGCACCGGCUAACUACGUG
rnacentral:rRNA from 1 species